rnacentral:snRNA from 1 species
GUGCUUGUUUCAACAGCAUGUAUGCUAAAACUGGAAUGAUCCAGAGAAGAUUAGCAAGGCCCUUGUACAAGGAUCGCACACAAAUUUGUUAAGUGUUCCAUAUUUUU